GAGCACGUAGGUGGGUUUGUAAGUCAGAUGUGAAAGCCUUCUGUUCAACGGAAGAAUUGCAUUUGAAACUACAAACCUUGAGUGUAGGAGGGGAGAAUGGAACUUCUGGUGGAGCGGUGAAAUGCGUAGAUAUCAGAAGGAAUGCCGGCGGCGAAAGCGAUUCUCCGGCCUAUAACUGACACUGAGUGUGCGAAAGCUAGGGGAGCAAACGGGAUUAGAUACCCCGGUAGUCCUAGCCGUAAACGAUGGGCACUAAGUAGAGGGGUUU
rnacentral:rRNA from 1 species